UCCUACGGGAGGCAGCAGUAGGGAAUCUUUCACAAUGGGCGAAAGCCUGAUGGAGCAACGCCGCGUGCGGGAUGACGGCCUUCGGGUUGUAAACUGCUUUUAUAAGCGAGAAAUAUGAUGGUAACUUAUGAAUAAGGACCGGCUAACUACGUGCCAGCAGCCGCGGUAAU
rnacentral:rRNA from 1 species